rnacentral:lncRNA from 1 species
GAUGUCUGAGCCCGAGGGAACAUCUUGUAAGAACACUCGUGACUCAUAUCGAAGCACAGAUUCGAGAAAUUCAAGGCAAGAAGGCAGCUCUUGAUGAAGCCCAAGGAGUGGGCCUUGAUUCCACAGGUUAUUAUGACCAAGAAAUUUAUGGUGGAAGUGAUAGCAGGUUUGCUGGAUAUGUGACAUCAAUUGCUGCGACUGAACUUGAAGAUGAUGACGAUGACUACUCAUCAUCCACUAGCUUGCUUGGUCAGAAGAAGCCUGGAUAUCAUGCCCCCGUGGCAUUGCUUAAUGAUAUACCACAGUCAACAGAACAGUAUGAUCCAUUCGCUGAGCAUCGUCCUCCAAAGAUUGCAGACCGGGAAGAUGAAUAUAAAAAGCAUAGGCGGACCAUGAUAAUUUCCCCAGAGCGUCUUGAUCCUUUUGCAGAUGGUAAUUCUUUCCCACUUUUCUAUAAGUAUUCAGACAUUUAUUUUAAUUAAGUUGUCUUUAGCCCUUUGAUUUUUUUUGGCAUGCUUAUGGAUUUGCUUUUCGUUUUUAAAGACCCCCUUAUAGAUUUGUAUAGAUUUGGUUGAAGUCACAGAUGCCAUAUUCUUCAUCUUUAUAAU